UGAACUUCUCUCCAGGAUGGAAGCUGGUGCGUGUCCUGCUUGUCUUGGAACCUGCUCAUGACCUGAGAAGACUGCAAUGAGUGCCUGUGGAGGCAGGAAGCUGAGCCGGGCUACCAGGAAGCACAGUGAGGGCUCAGCCAUUGAUGAUGAUGAUGAUGGUGAUGAUGAUGCUGCUGCUGCUGCUGCUGUUGAUGAUGAGUCCAAGCCAAGCCUGGGGAGAAAAGAAUAAAUAGUCUCAUAAAUUUAAAAAAGCCCAAUGCUCAUCAACAAGAGAACAGAUAAACUGUAUAUUCACCCAAUGGUGAGUUUAAAGCAGUUAAAAAUGCAUGACACACAGUUGCAUAUAUCAACAUGAAUAGAUCUCAGACACUUAACGAUGAGUGAAAAGAGCACAGUAUGGGAGGAUACAGACAGGAUAGUGCAUUUACAUAAAGCUUCAAUGUUGCAGGCUGAAAGAGUGAGGGUCGUGAUCAACUCAGUAUCCUGGAGGCUAUAUGAGUAAACAGCAAACUGUUCUCAUAAAUGCAGAGUGUUGGCAAACUGACAAACUGCAUCUGCUGCCCAGAAGGAAUGCAGAGGGCAGUCACUCCCUAAGCCCAGUUUUCUUGUGAUUAGGUACAUCUGAAGCCUGUUAGCAAUAAUGUGAACCUGUGAUCAAUUAAGCAGCUGACCAAUCAUUACCUCCUCUUCCCUGCUCUUUCUACCCCGUAAAUUCAAAGGGCUGUAGAAGCUCAGAGCUGCUGCUCUUGCUCCCUAGAAGCAGGGAGCCCAUUUCUUCUUCCCCCGACCCCUUCUUUUAAAACAGUUUCUUUUAAGUUUUCAUUUCUGCAUUCGUCCUUCUUCAUUCAGUCCCGUAGUAACCGUGGCAAACCGCGGCACUUCAAACCUCAUAAAAAGCACCAUAUAUUGCUUAUGGAUACAUAUGUUGUAAAUGUGUGAAAACAUGCGUGGGAAUGACAAAUACCGAAGUCAGGAUAGUGACUGGCCAUGGGGAAAGGAUGGUUAUUAUUGUUGUCUUAUCUCUUCAAUUCCAAAUGAGCCACGGGCUUAAAAGUGCUUCAUUGAAUUUAAAAAAAAAAACGUAUUAAUACAAUCAUUCUGAUUGUGGUUAUAUAUUAAGGCCAGGCACAGUGGCUCAUGCCUGUAAUCCCAACACUUUGGGAGGCUGAGGAAGGUGGAUCACUUGAGCCCAGGAGUUUGAGACCAGCUUGGACAACAUGGUGAAACCCUGUCUCUACAAAAAAUUUAAAAAUUACCCUGGCAUGGUGGCAUGUGCCUGUAGUCCCAGCUACUCAGGAGGCUGAGGUGGGAGGAUCACCUGAGCCCGGGAGUUCGAGGCUGCAGUGAGCUGUGAUUGUGCCACUGCACACUAGCUGGGACAAGAGCAAGACCCUGUCUGUAAAUAAAUAAAUAAUAUAUUGGCACUUAUUAUGUGCCAGGCACUGA